AACAGUAGCACACUGAAAAUAAAACCAACAAAGAAAAAAAAAAAAAAGGGAAUCCAAGCUUUCUGAAUGAUUUUAGUUAGAUGUUUUAUCCCAUUCCAGUUAUUGUUCUUGGCAGUGAAAUGAUACAGAAGACUGGUUAAGUUUUAAACAUCAGCUAUAAUCAUCCUUACUGAGUAAGAGACAGAAGAAAGGAAAGGAAGCUGCUUCAAAUCAAUCCAUGGUUCUUGGGAGAAUAUAAUAUUGUAGCUCAUGCACAUUAAAUUGCCCGUUGUUAGAAGACAUCUAUGAUCCAGCUCUCCCCAGUCUUUGGAACUCUGGCCUGAAGGUAGUUAGAAAUGCAGAUGAAGCUUGAUUAAGAGUAGUGGUUCUCCAACUCUCAUUCUUCAGAGUGGUAGAGCAGGCAAAGAACACUGGUGAUUUCUUGUAGCAUCUUUUCUGGAUUUUU
rnacentral:lncRNA from 1 species